rnacentral:rRNA from 1 species
CCGGCGACCGGCGGACGGGUGCGUAACGCGUAUGUAACCUACCUUUGACAGGGGGAUAACAUCGAGAAAUUGGUACUAAUACCCCAUAACAUCACCGGAGGCAUCUUCGGUGGUUGAAAACUCAGGUAGUCAGAGAUGGACAUGCGUUGUAUUAGCUAGUUGGUGAGGUAACGGCUCACCAAGGCGACGAUACAUAGGGGGACUGAGAGGUCAACCCCCCACAUUGGUACUGAGACACGGACCAAACUCCUACGGGAGGCAGCAG